rnacentral:rRNA from 1 species
UGGGGAAUAUUGGACAAUGGGCGCAAGCCUGAUCCAGCCAUGCCGCGUGAGUGAUGAAGGCCUUAGGGUUGUAAAGCUCUUUCGCCGACGAAGAUAAUGACGGUAGUCGGAGAAGAAGCCCCGGCUAACUUCGUGCCAGCAGCCGCGGUAAUACGAAGGGGGCUAGCGUUGUUCGGAAUCACUGGGCGUAAAGCGCACGUAGGCGGAUUGUUAAGUCAGGGGUGAAAGCCUGGAGCUCAACUCCAGAACUGCCCUUGAUACUGGCAAUCUCGAGUCCGGAAGAGGUAAGUGGAACUGCGAGUGUAGAGGUGAAAUUCGUAGAUAUUCGCAAGAACACCAGUGGCGAAGGCGGCUUACUGGUCCGGUACUGACGCUGAGGUGCGAAAGCGUGGGGGAGCAAAACAGGAUUAGAUACCCUGGUAGUCCACGCCGUAAACGAUGGAGGCUAGCCGUUGGCGAGCAUGCUCGUCAGUGGCGCAGCUAACGCAUUAAGCCUCCCGCCUGGGGAGUACGGUCGCAAGAUUAAAACUCAAAUGAAUUGAC